GAUAAUGUGGCUGAAGUUUAGGCAAUAAAUUGUAAAUUUAUUAAUAAAAAUUAGAAAUUUUUCAUUAUUA
rnacentral:tRNA from 1 species